rnacentral:rRNA from 1 species
GUUCAUUAGCUCAAAUUAGAACGCUGGCGGGAUGCUUACAUGCAAGGUCGGGCAGCAGCACGGACUUCGGUCUGGUGGCGAGUGGCGAACGGGUGAGUAAUGUAUCGGGUCUUACGUGGCGAGGGGAUAACUACGCGAAAGCGUAGCUAACUCUGCAACCACGCUAUUCGAGGAAAGCGGGGACGGGCCUCGCACUGACAGCCGAUAUCGGAUUGGCUGGUUGGUGGGAGUGCUGACUUCACCAGGCGACAAAUCGCCUUUGGUUUGAGAGGACGACCAGCCACGCUGGGACUGGUUGGCCCAGACUCCUGCAGGAGGCAGCGGUGGGAAUUUUUUGGACAAUGGGGAAACCACAGUCAGCCAUCCCGCGUGUGCGAUGAAGACCUUCGGGUUGUAAAGCACUUUUGGCGGAAAACGGCACGGGAUAAUACCCCGUGCAACUAAUGACCGCAUCACCAGAUAGCACCGGCCAACUACCGUGCCAGCAACCGCGGUAAUACGUAAGUGCGGCGUUAAUCCGGAAUUACUGGGCGUAAAGCGUGCCGCGGUACGGGUUCGGAGAAGAUGUGAAAUCCCAGAGCUUAACUGGAACUGCACAUUUUUAACUACCGAGCUAGAAGUGUGUCAGAGGGAGGUGGAAUUCCGCGUGUAGCGAUGAAAUGCGUAGAUGUGCGGAGGAACACCGAUGGCGAAAACAGCCUCUGGGACACUGACUUCGCUCAUGCACGAAAGCGUGGGAGCAAACGGGAUUAGAUACCCUGGUAGUCCACACGCCCUAAACGAUUGUCUUCAAGCUGUUGGGGCCUACGGGCCUUGGUAGCUGCCAACUGCGCGUGAAGUUAAAACCAUAAGAAGUACGGUCGCAAGAUUAAAACUCAAAGGAAUUGUGGGGACCCACUACAAGCGGUGGAUGAUGUGGAUUCAAGUCGCGAUGCAACGCAGAAACUUCAUACCUACCCUUAAAGCAUGUCUGGAAUCCCGAAGAGAUUUGGAAGUGCUCGCAGAGAACCGGAACACAGGUGCUGCACUGUGUCAUCAGCUCCAUUGUCGUGAAUGUUGGGGUUGGUCCACCAACGAGCGCAAGCCCUUGUCGUGUAGUUGCUACGAAAGGGCAUCUGUCGGACUGCCGGUGACAAACCGGAGGAAGGUGGGGAUGACAUUCGAUCCUCAUGGCCCUUAUAGGUAGGGCUUCACGCAUCGUACAAUGAAUGGUCGGGACAGAGGGUCGCCAACCUGAGAGGCCAAUCCCAGAAACCCGAUCGUAGUCCGGAUCAUGAUCUGCAGCUCGACUGCGUGAAGUCGGAAUCGCUAGUGAUAGCGCCGGAUCAACGCAUGUGUCGCGGUGAAUACGUUCCCGGGUCUUGUACACACCGCCCGUCACACCAUGGGAGUGGGUUUUACCAGAAGUAGUUAGCCUAACCGUAGGAGGGCGAUUACGGUAGGAUUCAUGACUGGGGUGAAGUCGUAACAAGAACUGACCUGUC